UGCUAUACAUGCAAGUCGAGCGAACAGAUGAGAAGCUUGCUUCUCUGAUGUUAGCGGCGGACGGGUGAGUAACACGUGGGUAACCUACCUAUAAGACUGGGAUAACUCCGGGAAACCGGGGCUAAUACCGGAUAAUAUUUUGAACCGCAUGGUUCAAUAGUGAAAGACGGUUUCGGCUGUCACUUAUAGAUGGACCCGCGCCGUAUUAGCUAGUUGGUAAGGUAACGGCUUACCAAGGCGACGAUACGUAGCCGACCUGAGAGGGUGAUCGGCCACACUGGAACUGAGACACGGUCCAGACUCCUACGGGAGGCAGCAGUAGGGAAUCUUCCGCAAUGGGCGAAAGCCUGACGGAGCAACGCCGCGUGAGUGAUGAAGGUCUUCGGAUCGUAAAACUCUGUUGUUAGGGAAGAACAAAUUUGUUAGUAACUGAACAAGUCUUGACGGUACCUAACCAGAAAGCCACGGCUAACUACGUGCCAGCAGCCGCGGUAAUACGUAGGUGGCAAGCGUUAUCCGGAAUUAUUGGGCGUAAAGCGCGCGUAGGCGGUUUCUUAAGUCUGAUGUGAAAGCCCACGGCUCAACCGUGGAGGGUCAUUGGAAACUGGGAAACUUGAGUGCAGAAGAGGAGAGUGGAAUUCCAUGUGUAGCGGUGAAAUGCGCAGAGAUAUGGAGGAACACCAGUGGCGAAGGCGGCUCUCUGGUCUGU
rnacentral:rRNA from 2 species